AUGAACGCUGGCGGCGUGCCUAAUACAUGCAAGUCGAGCGAACGGACGAGAAGCUUGCUUCUCUGAUGUUAGCGGCGGACGGGUGAGUAACACGUGGAUAACCUACCUAUAAGACUGGGAUAACUUCGGGAAACCGGAGCUAAUACCGGAUGAUAUUUUGAACCGCAUGGUUCAAAAGUGAAAGACGGUCUUGCUGUCACUUAUAGAUGGAUCCGCGCUGCAUUAGCUAGUUGGUAAGGUAACGGCUUACCAAGGCAACGAUGCAUAGCCGACCUGAGAGGUUGAUCGGCCACACUGGAACUGAGACACGGUCCAGACUCCUACGGGAGGCAGCAGUAGGGAAUCUUCCGCCAUGGGCGAAAGCCUGACGGAGCAACGCCGCGUGAGUGAUGAAGGUCUUCGGAUCGUAAAACUCUGUUAUUAGGGAAGAACAUAUGUGUAAGUAACUGUGCACAUCUUGACGGUACCUAAUCAGAAAGCCACGGCUAACUACGUG
rnacentral:rRNA from 1 species